rnacentral:lncRNA from 1 species
GCACAGAAAUGCUCUCCAUACCAUGCUGCAGAGGGAGGGAUGGCAUGAGUGAGUCAAGACUGUCUUUCCUAUCUCUUCAAUGCCUCUUUCAGUGAUACAAGUUAAAACCAGGUUUGUGAACAUCCACGUGCAGAGAUUGGAUCUAUGGAAACGGCACUGCUCCAGAGACUGCGCUGAACCAGCAAAGAAUGAACUGUGAUAACAAGCAGGGAGCUCUGUCCCUGAGAACGCCUCACAGAAAGACUGAAACCACAGUUGCUGACCUGAGAGGGGAGCAGGAGGUGGAAACUGGAAGGCAGUAGUCUAACAUGAGAGCUGAAGAGGCUACACAGAGAUGGGAAGAUCUCCUAAUGCACUGAUCAUUUGUUGUCUCACAUGGUUAGGUAGAUUAUCAUACCACCUGCAAAUAAUUACAGUUUUGUCUUUUUCUUCCCCAUACUUAUACCUCUCAUUUUAAAAUUUAUUUUGUAUCAUUUUGUCUAGGGACCUCAGUACAAUUUUAAAUAAUCAUGGUUACAAUAACCAAAUGUAUCCAGCUUAGAUGGAAAUGUCAGUGUUUCAACAUAAAGUAUUUAUUAUAGAUUAAGUAUUUAUUAUAGAUGGCAGCAGAUACCCUUAUCAAAUUCAAAAAGGUUGGUUCUAGUGCCAAUUGACUUAGAGUUUUUCUUUCUUUCUUUCUUUUUUGUUUUUGGUUUAAAAUUAGGAGUGUAUCAGUUUGUCAGGGUUCUCCAGAGAAACAUAACCAAGAAGAUGGAUGAUGGAUAGAUGGAUGGAUGGAUGGAUGGAUGGAUGGAUGGAUGGAUGGAUGGAUGGAUAGACAGGCAGGCAGGCGGAUGGAUGGAUGGAUAGAUAGAUAGAUAGAUAGAUAGAUAGAUAGAUAGAUAGAUAGAUAAAUUUUAAGGAACUGGCUUACACCAUUGCAGAAGCUGGCAAAUCCAAAAUCUGCAGGGUAGGCUUGCAGGUUGGAGAGUCACGGAAGACCCAAUGCAGCAGUUUGAGCUUGAAAGUGGUCUGCUGGGAGAAUGUCUUCUUCCUCUGGGGAGGUCAGUCUUUUUUCUCUUAAGACUUCCAACUGAUUGAAUGAGGCCUACCCACAUUACAACAGGUAAUCUGCUUUAUUCUAAGUCUAUUGAUUUUAAUGUUAAUUUCAUCUAAAAAAUAUCUUCACAGAAACAUCUAGAAUAGUGUUUGACCAAAUAUCUGGGUACCAUAGCCUAGAGAAGUUGACACAUAAAAUUAACCGUCACAAAGAGUUGGAUUUUAUCAAGCACAUGUUUGGUGGAGAAACCUAAUCCGAAUGCACUGAAAGAGUUCUAAUUAGACAUUUCAUGGGCCUCUGAGGCUCCCUGAGGAAAGUAAGAGAGAAGGUCAAAACACAUGUCCCUCUUGGAAUGGGGGCCUGAGUCCAUGCUGCAGGGAGCUGGCUGUGGAGAGUGAAGCCCUUUCAGAGGUCAGCACCCACUGACCUGAGCCACUGAGGAUUCUGCAAUGGACUAACAGAGUGGCCAUGGUAGCAGGAAUGGAAGCUUUGUAUGGACCCAAUGGGCUCCCUUCUUCAAGGAUUGUGUAGCUAGUGCCACCAAUAAAGGCCAAUCAACCACCAGCAGUGAUCAACACAGAGCCCGCAGUAUGACACCGUCCUUGGAAAGACCACCAAGAUACUUUGUGGCAUAUUCAUUAUUUUAGAUCUUUUCCACUCUGGAGAGGGUAAUGAUUUACCUUUGAAGUGACUAUUCCUGGUGUGGAUUUAUCCACAGUGCCUUCAACCAUCUGAGGGCUUAUAGAAUGUCUAGUCUAUUGGCAUCAGAUCCUAUACAACACUGCCUCAGACCAACAUGCAUAAUUUAUGGCAAAGGAGAUGACAAAUGGACUCAAUCAUAGGCUUCACUGAUUUUAUCACGUACACCAUCAUCCUGAAAUUUCUAGAUCUCCCCACUACUUCUUAAUUUGGAUGAAGAAUUACCCUAUAGGACAGGGGUCAGCAAACUGUGACCUGUGCCUUGAAUCCAGUCUGCUGCUUGUUUUGGUAGAUAAAGUUUGAUUGGAACACAGUCAUGCCCAUUUAUUUAUGUAUUGUAUAUAUUUGCUUUCACAGUAUAAUGUCAGAAUUGAGAAGUUAUGAAAGAAACUGCAUGGACUGCAAAUUUACUAAAAGCGAUUCUCCUGCCUCAGCCUCCAGAGUAGCUGGGAUUACAAGAGUGCACCAUCACACCAGCUAAUUUUUGUAUGUUUAGUAGAGAUGGGGAUUCACCAUGUUGGUCAGUCUGGUCUCAAACUCUUGGCCUCAGGUGAUCCACCCACGUCGGCCUCUCAAAGUGCUGUGAUUACAGGUGUGAGCCACCCUGCAUGGCCAGCAUCUGUCUUUUACUUGAGCAUAGGUCAGAUUUUUCAGGUCUUAGUAUGUCUAGUAAUUUGGAUUUUGCCUGGACAUUUUGUGUAUUAUACUGUGAAGCUCUGGGUCUUAUUAAAAUCCUCUGGAG